AUUGAGACGGUAGGGAGUAUAUUUUGAGUUGCCCUUGUGUUCAAAAUAUCCCAUCUUAUCGCGAACCCAAAUCUUCCGCCGUCCGCAACAUAGAGAAUAGGUACGCUCCUUCCUCCCAUCCAUCAUCGGUCGGAUUCUACGUGUUUGGCUGCUGAGAAAGUCCGAUUAAACUUUCCCAGAAAAUUGAUUUGGAAGAAAACAAAAGGCCUCCUUAUUUUUAUCUAAUAUCGGGUUUCGAAGAAUAGUGCGAAUGGAGGUUUUUGCUGAUUGAUCUUAUUAGGGUUUUGAACUUGUUUAAUUGAAGGACGGUAUUGGCGUUUAGGGUUUCUGUGAGGUUUGGUAAUUGGGGGAAGUAGGGCAUUGAUGGCUGAUCGAAAUCUUGCACUUGUUAAGCCAGUAUGGAUGAAGCAAGCCGAAGAGGCGAGGAGCAAGAGCGAGGCUGAGAAAGCCGCAGCGGCAAAAGCUGCUUUUGAAGCCACAUUCAAAGAUGUGGAUAAGAAUCGAGAGAAAGAAGUGGUGGCUGGAUCAGAUAGUGAAUCUGAAGAAGCUGAGGACCUGGCGAACAAGCCCAUUGGACCGGUGGACCCGGCAAAGUGCACUGCAGCCGGGGCUGGGAUCGCGGGUGGUACAGCAUGUGCGCCUUCUUCGUUUAUGGUAGUGACUAAAGACUCUGAUGGAAGGAAGGUUCCAAAUGGUGGGGUGCAGAUUAAGGUGAAAGUAGUGCCUGGAGUGGGAGUUGGGGGAUCAGAGCAAGAAGGGAUGGUGAAGGAUAUGGGUGAUGGGACGUACACAGUUACUUAUGUGGUGCCAAAACGAGGGAAUUAUAUGGUGAGUGUGGAGUGCAGUGGUAAACCCAUCAUGGGUAGCCCAUUCCCAGUGUUCUUCAGUGCAGGUUCUAGUGCUGGAGGACUGCUGGGAUUGGCUCCGCCGUCCACAUUUCCUAAUCUAGUUAACCAAACCAUGCCUAACAUGCCAAAUUAUUCAGCUUCUGUUUCAGGGGCAUUCCCUGGACUGUUGGGAAUGAUUCCAGGCAUUGUUCCUGGUGCUUCAGGAGGGGCUAUAUUGCCAGGAAUUGGAGCAUCUCUUGGGGAAGUUUGUAGAGACUACCUUAGUGGUAGGUGCGCCAAAAUUGAUUGUAAGCUGAACCACCCGCCUCACAAUCUGCUAAUGACUGCGUUAGCUGCAACCACCUCUAUGGGAAAUGUUAGCCAAGUGCCUAUGGCACCUUCUGCAGCUGCAAUGGCUGCUGCUCAGGCAAUUGUUGCUGCCCAGGCUCUUCAAGCCCAUGCUGCUCAGGUGCAAGCACAAGCUCAGUCAAACAAAGACUCUUCUGGUUCACUUGACAAAGCUGGGAAGGCUGAUGUGCUGAAGAAGACGGUUCAAGUCAGCAAUCUUAGCCCACUUCUCACUGUGGAACAGCUGAAAGAACUUUUUAGCUAUUGUGGCACCGUUGUAGAAUGUACCAUUGCUGACUCAAAGCAUUUUGCAUAUAUAGAAUACUCAAAACCUGAAGAAGCAACUGCUGCUUUGCAAUUGAAUAAUAUGGAUGUUGGAGGCCGUCCUAUGAAUGUUGAGAUGGCAAAAUCACUUCCUCAGCAACCAGCUGCUAUGAAUUCCUCAAUGGCUUCAUCAUCUCUUCCUAUGGUGAUGCAGCAAGCUGUUGCCAUGCAACAGAUGCAAUUCCAGCAGGCUUUGCUUAUGCAACAAACUAUGACCGCCCAACAGGCAGCCAACCGAGCUGCAACCAUGAAGACAGCAACAGAGUUAGCUGCUGCCAGAGCAGCAGAAAUAAGUAAGAAAUUUAAAGCUGAUGGAGUAGAAAUUGAAGAGAAGGAAACAAAAGAGAAAUCUAGGUCUCCAUCACCAUCUCGUGCAAGGUCAAAAUCCAGAUCCAGAUCACCUAUAAAUUAUCGCCGAAGGCGGAAGUCUCCUUCUUACUCUCCUCCAUAUCGCUAUCCAAGAGAUCGUAGAUCCAGAUCCCCUUUGAGAUCACGCCACUAUUCAAGCUAUGAUAAUGAACGCAGGCUAUAUAGAGACAUUAGGAAUGAUGGUGACAGAACUAGAAGGCGGGAUUCAGAUAGAUCACAUGAUCAUCAUUUUUCUACGUCACGGAGAAAUAGGAGUAGGAGUGUUAGUCCUAGAACAAGAAAAACACGAGUUGAUUCGGUGUCACCCAAACAUCGACGAGAAAGUUCUCCACGUAGAACUCGAGCUGCGUCUAGAUCACCUGGUCAUCAUACAGGAAGUAAGUCUUCUCCAAGAAAACGCUCAAGGUCAAAGUCUUCAGAAGGAAAACAUCACUUAAGUGACAAAAAAGAUGACACCCACUAUGAAAAAGAAAAACAUGGAGAAAGAAGGCGAUCAAGGUCAGUGUCUACUGAAGGUAAGGGACAUAGAAGACGGUUAUCACCAAGAAGUCCGGAUGAAAAAAAAUCCAGACAGAGAAGGCGGUCUAGGUCAAAAUCUUUGGAAGUCAAGUACCGCUCUAAUGAGAAAUCGGACGAAACAAGAGAUGAAAAAUUAAAACAUCGUAGUAGAAGGCGGUCCAGGUCAAAAUCUUUGGAAGAUAAGCACCGCUCUGAUGAGAAAACAAAUGAAAUAGAUGAAAAAUCAAAGUAUCGUGAUAGAAGACGUUCUAGAUCAAAAUCUGUGGAAGGGAAGCAUCACUUGAAGGAGUUGGGCGAAGGUAGGGAUAAAAGAUCAAAGCAUUGUGAUAGAAGGCGAUCCCGGUCAGUAUCUGUGGAGCCUAAGCACGACAGAAGACGUGGGUCAUCCCCAAGAAGCUUGGAUGACAAUAAAGUGAAGCACAGAAGGCGGUCAAGGUCAAAGUCUGCUGAAGGGAAGCAUCGCUCCAAUGAUAGGGCAUAUAAAAGUAGAGACGAAAAAGAAAAGAGUCAUAGGAGAAGACGGUCCGGGUCUACAUCUGUGGAACCUAAGCAUCAUAGAGGAAGUAUGUUAUCCCCAAGAAGUACGGAUGGAAAGAAAUCAAAACACAGAAGAAGGCGCUCUAGGUCAGAAUCUUCUGAAGGCAAGCAUCCAGCUAGUUGUGGAAGGGAUGAGAAUGGUGGUGAUGGAAAGAAAUCAAAACACAGAAGAAGGCGCUCUAGGUCAGAAUCUUCUGAAGGCAAGCAUCCAGCUAGUUGUGGAAGGGAUGAGAAUGGUGCUGACAAAUCAGAGUAUCAUGAAGAUGGCAAUGAGAAACCAAGUUCGGUGGUGAAAGAUUCAACAAAGAAAAUUGAUGAUGGGGUGGUUAUUUCAGCGGAAGAGGACUUGGACUUGAAGGAAUCAAUGCGAAAUAUGAGAACUGAAGAUAUUCCUCAUAUGAAAAAACAUGGUUUUGUGCAAGAUCUUGAUAGUGAACGAACUUCUAGAGUCUCGUUAAAUGUGGAGGAAAGCAAAGUGGAAGUGUCCAUCACUGAGAAUCUAGCACUUGGAACAUCUGGACUGGAAAAUCAAAUUGGUUGUGAAAAGUUAACUGAUGCAGAUGAUGUUUGCAGAACUGACUCCGGAAAGGAUUACAUCACAGUGAAGGUUCAGAAGAGAAACUCCCUGAUACCUGAUGCAGAUAACGCAGAUAUGUUUUCUGAUGACACCAUUGCAGAAGAGAACUUGUGAAAAUAUGAAACCAGACCCUGGGCUGUUAGGAUUCAAGAGUAUCUGCCGGGGGAGAUGAUGCUGACAAGUGCUGCAGUCACUGCACUGAUAAUAACUUGGUCUAAUUUGAGGGACUAACUGAGAAACUUGAAAAUUCUGGGGAAUGAUCUGUUGCUUCUCAUUGGAAGGGCGAUUUACUUGGAAGCUUGCUUAGCGUUUCUAUUGUUGUAUGGCUCUUCAUAAGUAUACUCUUUUUUUUUUUCUUUUAAUCUUAUUGCAGGUUCUUUGGGUCUCUGAGCUGAUCUGGAUAUGGUUUAAAUAUUUCAAGGAGUGUUCUGAUAUCAUCCACAUCCAACAUUCCAGUGUUUGUAGUGAGCUUCUUUUACUGAUUGAUGUUACGGUGAUUUUGAUUGGAGCUUUCUGAGAUUCAGUUUGGCAGGGUUGAUUUUCUCUGGAUAUGAAGAAAUUGGCUUGGUUAGGUAAAAGCUACUUCUAAGGUCGAGUGAAAUCAGAUGUUGCUGGGAUGAGUUGCACCAAAAUUCCACAACAGGGUGAGCUGUGGAUGGUUAAGCACUGCUGCCUAGGUCUCAACUUGGGGAUCGAUUAUGCUUGACUACAACUUUGGUAUGUAGGAUUUGAUUGGAAUGGACGACGAAUUUGAAGGAUUGGAAUGGACUACCAAUUUCUUCUCUCCUCGUACAUCUUCCCCUCUCCCUUUCUUUUGCUCUCCACUUUGUUCUCGUUUGUUAUGUAGGAUUGGAUUGGACUGGACGACUAAUUUGAAGGCAUAUUGGAGGUAGAAGCAAGUGAUGUUUCAUUUGGAUGGGAUUUGAAGAGGAUUAUACAUCAAGAAAAAAUCCUCCCUUCUAGUCCUACCAUUUUUGGAGAGCAUAUUGGAAUGGAUAAGUUUUCUUCAUGAGUAAUCCAUCGUCUGCCCUCUAGUUGGUUAUAAUGUUUUCAUUUCUCCCUUCAACAUACCUUGAAAUUAGAGUUAUCCAUUCCAUUCCAAUCCAAUCCAAUCCAAUCUUACCAAACGAGGGUUUUUUUUUCUUCGUUUAGAUUUGUUUUCAAGAAAAUUUGUAGUUAAACCUCCAUCACUUAAUGCAAGAGAGCCUUUGCCGUAGUGCGGAGAAAUUCUGAAUUGUGGCUGCCAUACGCAGCAGCACACUUCAAGGCUGUAAGGACCCUUGCAUGUUUGUUCCCACUCGGCGCCACCUCCUUGUGAGUGUGCUGCCGCGUAUCACAGCCUUCAACAAGGAAUUAGAGAGUCGAGAGACUGGCAGUGGUCGUGUUGGCGUUGAGCUGGAAAUUCAUUUUCAUACUUGAUGCUGAUUUCGGCAUCUAAAUUUCAAAUUGAAUGUCGUUUGGUCUCUAUUUGCAAGACACUGUUGCCAUCUAAUCGAUGACGGAUGGUAUUAGUUUGAAAUUUGACACAAUAAGAUAACAAUAAUGGUUAUUGUAGAGAAAAACAAAUCUAUAAGAAUAUUGGAACACUUCUUCCUCA